rnacentral:rRNA from 1 species
UACGGAGGGCGCAAGCGUUGUCCGGAUUCAUUGGGCGUAAAGGGUGCGUAGGCGGCUCGGUAAGUCAGGUGUGAAAUCUCGGGGCUCAACCGCGAAACUGCACUUGAUACUGCGGUGCUAGAGGACUCGAGAGGAGAGUGGAAUUCACGGUGUAGCAGUGAAAUGCGUAGAUAUCGGAAGGAACACCAGUGGCGAAAGCGGCUUACUGGUCCAGCACCGACGUUCAGGCACGAAAGCGUGGGGAGCAAACAGG